rnacentral:rRNA from 1 species
AAUCAACGCUGGCGGCGUGCCUAACACAUGCAAGUCGAACGAGAAAGUGGAGCAAUCCAUGAGUAAAGUGGCGCACGGGUGAGUAACACGUGACUAACCUACCCUGGAGUGGGGAAUAACUGAGGGAAACCUUAGCUAAUACCGCAUAACACCUACGGGUCAAAGGAGCAAUUCGCUUCAGGAGGGGGUCGCGGCCGAUUAGUUAGUUGGCGGGGUAAUGGCCCACCAAGACGAUGAUCGGUAUCCGGCCUGAGAGGGCGCACGGACACACUGGAACUGAAACACGGUCCAGACUCCUACGGGAGGCAGCAGUGGGGAAUUUUGCGCAAUGGGGGAAACCCUGACGCAGCAACGCCGCGUGGAGGAUGAAGUCCUUCGGGACGUAAACUCCUUUCGAUCGGGACGAUAAUGACGGUACCGAGAGAAGAAGCCCCGGCUAACUUCGUGCCAGCAGCCGCGGUAAUACGAGGGGGGCGAGCGUUGUUCGGAAUUAUUGGGCGUAAAGGGUGCGUAGGCGGUUUGGUAAGUCUGAUGCGAAAUCUAUGGGCUCAACUCAUAGUCUGCAUCG